rnacentral:rRNA from 1 species
AUUGAACGCUGGCGGCAGGCCUAACACAUGCAAGUCGAGCGCGCGUCGCACGGGUGAGUAUUGUAUGGGGACUGCCCGAUAGGGAGGGAUAACUACUGGAAACGGUAGCUCAUACCGCAUACUCUCGGGUCGCCCACAUGGGAUUAGCUAGUAGGUGGGGUAAUGGCUCACCUAGGCGACGAUCCCUAGCUGGUCUGAGAGGAUGAUCAGCCACACUGGGACUGAGACACGGCCCAGACUCCUACGGAGGCAGCAGUGGGGAAUAUUGCACAAUGGGCGCAAGCCUGAUGCAGCCAUGCCGCGUGUAUGAAGAAGGCCUUAGGGUUGUAAAGUACUUUCAGUAGGGAGGCGUUACCGACAGAAGAAGCACCGGCUAACUCCGUGCCAGCAGCCGCGGUAAUUC